GGUGACAUACCAAUUUAAGGCCCAAACUCAAGUGUCUAAAAAGAAGCUCCUCCGAUUCAAACAUCAACAUAUGAAGACCCCUAGAAGAGGCUUAUCAACUUUCGCUUGAAUCCAAGCAAGCACAACCUGAAGCCAAGACACUCUUCCAAGGUGUGAGAGAUGCGCUUCACCUUCAUGCGCAAACCGCCUUGUAGAAAUAGGGGAUUAGAGGAUGCUAGACCAUAUCAAAG
rnacentral:lncRNA from 1 species